rnacentral:rRNA from 1 species
AUACAACUUUCAACAACGGAUCUCUUGGCUCUCGCAUCGAUGAAGAACGCAGCGAAAUGCGAUAAGUAAUGUGAAUUGCAGAAUUCAGUGAAUCAUCGAAUCUUUGAACGCACCUUGCGCUCCUUGGUAUUCCGAGGAGCAUGCCUGUUUGAGUGUCAUGUUAAUAUCAAUCUCUUCGCCUUUUGUGGGUGUUGAGCUUGGAAUUGGAGGCUUUGCUGGCUUUGCGGUCGGCUCCUCUGGAAUGUAUUAGCUGGGCUUUCGCUCGAUGCAACGGUGUGAUAGUAUUAUUCGCCGGAGUAACUUGCGAUAUGGGUCUGCUUCUAAUCGUCUUCGGACAAAUAUGGGGUGUUUACAUGCUCCUUUGACUUUUGACCUCAAAUCAGGUAGGACUACCCGCUGAACUUAAGCAUAUCAAUAAGCGGAGGAAAAGAAACUAACAAGGAUUCCCCUAGUAACUGCGAGUGAAGCGGGAAAAGCUCAAAUUUAAAAUCUGGCGGCUUUGCUGUCCGAGUUGUAAUCUGGAGAAGCGUUUUCCGCGC